AAAAUGUCUUAAGUUGAAAUGUUGUAACUCAGAACCUAUUCUCCCAUAGGAAACAAUGUUGUAAAUGGGGGAUUGGUUCCUGAACUAAGGCCCAAUACCCUAUUUUCAC